rnacentral:rRNA from 1 species
CUGGCUCAGGACGAACGCUGGCGGCGUGCCUAAUACAUGCAAGUAGAACGCUGAAGAGAGGAGCUUGCUCUUCUUGGAUGAGUUGCGAACGGGUGAGUAACGCGUAGGUAACCUGCCUUGUAGCGGGGGAUAACUAUUGGAAACGAUAGCUAAUACCGCAUAACAAUGGAUGACACAUGUCAUUUAUUUGAAAGGGGCAAUUGCUCCACUACAAGAUGGACCUGCGUUGUAUUAGCUAGUAGGUGAGGUAACGGCUCACCUAGGCGACGAUACAUAGCCGACCUGAGAGGGUGAUCGGCCACACUGGGACUGAGACACGGCCCAGACUCCUACGGGAGGCAGCAGUAGGGAAUCUUCGGCAAUGGGGGCAACCCUGACCGAGCAACGCCGCGUGAGUGAAGAAGGUUUUCGGAUCGUAAAGCUCUGUUGUAAGUCAAGAACGAGUGUGAGAGUGGAAAGUUCACACUGUGACGGUAGCUUACCAGAAAGGGACGGCUAACUACGUGCCAGCAGCCGCGGUAAUACGUAGGUCCCGAGCGUUGUCCGGAUUUAUUGGGCGUAAAGCGAGCGCAGGCGGUUUGAUAAGUCUGAAGUUAAAGGCUGUGGCUCAACCAUAGUUCGCUUUGGAAACUGUCAAACUUGAGUGCAGAAGGGGAGAGUGGAAUUCCAUGUGUAGCGGUGAAAUGCGUAGAUAUAUGGAGGAACACCGGUGGCGAAAGCGGCUCUCUGGUCUGUAACUGACGCUGAGGCUCGAAAGCGUGGGGAGCGAACAGGAUUAGAUACCCUGGUAGUCCACGCCGUAAACGAUGAGUGCUAGGUGUUGGAUCCUUUCCGGGAUUCAGUGCCGCAGCUAACGCAUUAAGCACUCCGCCUGGGGAGUACGACCGCAAGGUUGAAACUCAAAGGAAUUGACGGGGGCCCGCACAAGCGGUGGAGCAUGUGGUUUAAUUCGAAGCAACGCGAAGAACCUUACCAGGUCUUGACAUCCCGAUGCUAUUUCUAGAGAUAGAAAGUUACUUCGGUACAUCGGUGACAGGUGGUGCAUGGUUGUCGUCAGCUCGUGUCGUGAGAUGUUGGGUUAAGUCCCGCAACGAGCGCAACCCCUAUUGUUAGUUGCCAUCAUUCAGUUGGGCACUCUAGCGAGACUGCCGGUAAUAAACCGGAGGAAGGUGGGGAUGACGUCAAAUCAUCAUGCCCCUUAUGACCUGGGCUACACACGUGCUACAAUGGUUGGUACAACGAGUUGCGAGUCGGUGACGGCAAGCUAAUCUCUUAAAGCCAAUCUCAGUUCGGAUUGUAGGCUGCAACUCGCCUACAUGAAGUCGGAAUCGCUAGUAAUCGCGGAUCAGCACGCCGCGGUGAAUACGUUCCCGGGCCUUGUACACACCGCCCGUCACACCACGAGAGUUUGUAACACCCGAAGUCGGUGAGGUAACCUUUUGGAGCCAGCCGCCUAAGGUGGGAUAGAUGAUUGGGGUGAAGUCGUAACAA